rnacentral:rRNA from 1 species
UACGUAGGGGCAAGCGUUGUCCGGAUUUAUUGGGCGUAAAGCGCGCGUAGGCGGCGCGGUAUGUCGUGGCGUGAAAUCUCCCGGCUUAACUGGGAGGGGCCGUGCGAAACUGCCGGGCUUGAGGGUCGGAAGGGGAAAGUGGAAUUCCGGGUGUAGUGGUGGAAUACGUAGAUAUCCGGAGGAACACCAGCGGCGAAGGCAGGCUUUCUGGUCCGGAUACUGACGCUGAGGUGCGAAAGCGUGGGGAGCGAUCCGGG